AUUGUAUUGUAAUAGCAGUUGUUUUAGAUUUGUCCCUUACGGUGGACUGUAAGCCAUCAGAGGGCAAAUCAGACGCGUCUUGGUUUCCAGAGCCCUGCACCCACCCACUAGACUCCGGAAUGCCAUCGGGUAUGCCGUUUAAUAUCUCGGAGCGAGAGGUUUCGUGGAAAAUGGUAGUUAAUCACCGUACCUGCUUCUCAAGACCGCUGUGAGGCUUAAGUGGGAAAUGUGUGGAGAAAAUACAUUACCGUGUGAAGCUAGUUGUUAUUCGUGUGUGUGUCGAGCACUUUCAAUCAGGAGAGCCAGAGAAACUGUUGGACUUGACACCCAACCUGGUGAGGGAAAGCGGCCCUAAUCACUGCUGGAAGCAUUAAUCACUGCAAGGAGCACCCAGGCUGGCGCAGAAGGCACCGUGUCAGCCUUUGACUGGAUAGGGUUGCAAGGGUUUGGGGUCAUGAUCUGACCGUGGGAUGCACAAGUCUUGGGGAAAUUGACUGGAUAUAGUGAGAAUCUGCCUUAUUUCCCAACAGGUGCAUGGGUCUCCUUGCAGUCAGCUCUUCUUCUCAGACCAGCAGAUCAUGAAACAAAAGAGGAAGACAACAGUUCCACUCACACACUGCCCCCCAAAGUGUCCCUUCUUCUCUGUCAUUCUAAUGACACUGAGAAUGGACUCUGCCCGUCACUCCUCGGGGGAAGACUGUCUCAUCCUGAAGCCUAGCUUCCUGGAGAUGAUGCCUCUCUGAAGGAGGGUUCUUGGCCCAUGGAGACAAUCCAGUCAGGUGCUUAAUUUCACAUCCAUCCCCCCAUACUGCAGUAAAAACACUCUUCUUCCUCAGAA